AUCGGAGUUCAAUGACACAUGAAACCCUUGAAGCCCUUGUUUGUGUUAAGGAUUGGUUGUAUAAGCUCCCAGGCAAUGAAGACUGCUCUCAGAUUGUGGUUGACUAGCACAGGAUAUGGAGUACACCCCUUACGCAGCAAGUUCCUCUGUAUCCCACAUCUCGCUGCUCAAGGAAGUUCUUGGCUGGAGGUUUUGUCUUAAUCAUGUUUUGCCGUGUCGAUAGCAGUAUGUUGGAAGGUUAUUGCGGAUUAGGAUGUAAUGUUCAGCUCCAAGUCCGUUUGAUUGACGAUGCUCUGAAUUCAGUACAUCUAGAUCCUGAAUAAUUUGAUUCAAGACAUGGUGGGACUCAUGGACUCAUGGUCAUGGCACAAUCUAAGAUGUAAACGAUGGCCAACGAUGUAAACUGGACGAUGACAUGGAUGGUCAGUAUGCUUGCGUGGUAGACUGCCAAGAGAGGCUAGGAA